rnacentral:rRNA from 1 species
GACGAACGCUGGCGGCGUGCUUAACACAUGCAAGUCGAACGGAAAGUCUCUGCUUUUGUUGGGUGCUCGAUUGGCUAUCGGUUGCGUAACACGUGAUUAACCUUCCCUUGACUUUGUGAUAACUUCAGGUAACUGGGGCUAAUACUGGCUAGUAGCGCCUGCUGCUUGUUGUUGCUUGGAAAUUUUUGGCGGUUUGGGAUUGACUCGCGGCUUAUUAGCUCUUUGGUGGGGUAGUGGAUUACCAAGGUUUUGACGGGUAGCCGGACUGAGAGGGUGACCGGCCACAUUGGGACUGAGAAACGGCCCAGACUGCUACGGGAGGAAGAAGUGGGGAAUAUUGCAAAAUGGGCGGAAGCAUGAAGGAGGAACGCCGGGUGCGGGAGGACGGCCUUCAGGGUGGAAACGGCUUUCGACUGUGAAGAAGAGUGAGUGACGGUAAUGGGUAAAGAAGCACCGGCUAACUACGUG